AUUGAACGCUGGCGGCAGGCCUAACACAUGCAAGUCGAGCGGAUGAAGGGAGCUUGCUCCUGGAUUCAGCGGCGGACGGGUGAGUAAUGCCUAGGAAUCUGCCUGGUAGUGGGGGAUAACGUCCGGAAACGGGCGCUAAUACCGCAUACGUCCUGAGGGAGAAAGUGGGGGAUCUUCGGACCUCACGCUAUCAGAUGAGCCUAGGUCGGAUUAGCUAGUUGGUGGGGUAAAGGCCUACCAAGGCGACGAUCCGUAACUGGUCUGAGAGGAUGAUCAGUCACACUGGAACUGAGACACGGUCCAGACUCCUACGGGAGGCAGCAGUGGGGAAUAUUGGACAAUGGGCGAAAGCCUGAUCCAGCCAUGCCGCGUGUGUGAAGAAGGCCUUCGGAUUGUAAAGCACUUUAAGUUGGGAGGAAGAGCAGUAAGUUAAUACCGUGCUGUUUUGACGUUACCCACAGAAUAAGCACCGGCUAACUUCGUG
rnacentral:rRNA from 1 species